CCUAGAACAGAACAGCACAUGUUAAGGAAUGAAGAGUGUACCCGUGUCGGCAAUGGCAACGCGAUCAGGAGUAACAGCCUAGAGUUAGCUGCCUCCAGUAACCCGAUUUUAAUCGCCCGUUAAAUACCCUUUUUGCCUUUUCCAGAAUGUCAUGAAAAUGGAAUCAGACCGUAUGUAGCCUUUUGAGGAUAGAGGAUCUCCCCCACCACCCCAACUCCAGUGAGCUUUCAGAUGAGAUUGUAGCCCCAGAUGACAAUAAGGUCCCUGCUUCCCCUUUGCCUUCCACCAUGAUUGUGAGUUUCCUGAGGCCUCGCCAGCCAUGUGGAACCGUAAGUCAAUUAAACAUUCUUUGUUUAUAAAGAAAGCCUAUAUCCAGUCUUGGGUAGUU
rnacentral:lncRNA from 1 species